rnacentral:lncRNA from 1 species
ACUCCAUAGUUUCAGCUAAGGGAACACGCAAGCUUCCAGAAGAGUUAAAGAGGUUCUCUCGACCUCGUAGAGCAAAAUAAGUUCUUCGAGUGCUUCGAUUCCCCUUGUUAUUCCCCUUGCCUCUUCGAUUUUUGGAAACAUUUGAAUUCGGCUCCAGGUUUGAAUCCAAAAUCUCUAUCGUCCUCGAAUCCGAAUUAUCCUAUUGAGUUAAAAAAUUUAUUAAAACUAACAGCAGAGUGCUUACCUG